AUGAACGCUGGCGGCGUGCUUAACCCAUGCAAGUCGAACGGUGAAGCAGAGCUUGCUCUGUGGAUCAGUGGCGAACGGGUGAGUAACACGUGAGCAACCUGCCCCUGACUCUGGGAUAAGCGCUGGAAACGGCGUCUAAUACUGGAUAUGAGCUGCGACCGCAUGGUCAGCAGUUGGAAAGAUUUUUCGGUCUGGGAUGGGCUCACGGCCUAUCAGCUUGUUGGUGAGGUAAUGGCUCACCAAGGCGUCGACGGGUAGCCGGCCUGAGAGGGUGACCGGCCACACUGGGACUGAGACACGGCCCAGACUCCUACGGGAGGCAGCAGUGGGGAAUAUUGCACAAUGGGCGAAAGCCUGAUGCAGCAACGCCGCGUGAGGGAUGACGGCCUUCGGGUUGUAAACCUCUUUUAGCAGGGAAGAAGCGAAAGUGACGGUACCUGCAGAAAAAGCGCCGGCUAACUACGUG
rnacentral:rRNA from 1 species